rnacentral:rRNA from 1 species
UACCAGCACCCCGAGUGGUCGGGACGAUUAUUGGGCCUAAAGCAUCCGUAGCCGGUUCUACAAGUCUUCCGUUAAAUCCACCUGCUUAACAGAUGGGCUGCGGAGGAUACUAUAGAGCUAGGAGGCGGGAGAGGCAAGCGGUACUUAGUGGGUAGGGGGUAAAAAUCCGUUGAUCCAUUGAAGACCACCAGUGGCGAAGGCGGCUUGCCAGAACGCACUCGACGGUGAGGGAUGAAAGCUGGGGGGAGCAAACCGGG